AUGGUUGUGGCUUGGCCGCCGAGCACACAAUCCAUUGAUUCACACAUAAGGUCAAAACCGAGUCGCGGUGUACACAAUGCUGGGCAUUAUUUAUAUCGAAGGACGAGGAGGAAGAUUUGGAUGACCGUAACCACAAUGGCAAGAGCAGCAACAUGGUCGUCACCUGCAAUGCCGAUGGGUGCUGACAUUAUGAUGUUUGGUUUAUUUGUUGAAAGUUACAGCCCAUGUUUCAUGAUUUAUUUGCCACCGGUUAAUCAUGAUAUUUUGAAGUGCUCUGACAAUUGCUUGCUGUCUGCAUCUCUUACUUUUCAACUUGCUGCAUAUACAGAUAUACACCAUUAG
rnacentral:rRNA from 1 species